rnacentral:snRNA from 1 species
AGCUUUGUACAGUAGGAGUAUCAUAGCCAGUGAGGUUUAUCUGAGGAAUGAUUAUUGCUAAUUGAAAUUACUCA